UUGCUGUUUUUUGCCCACUUAUGAAAAAUGAAAAAAGUCGCUAAAAAUGGACGAAGGCUAUAGCCUUACUUUUUUGCUGUUUUUUGCCCACUUAUUAAAAAUGAAAAAAGUCACUAAAAAUGGACGAAAAGUAAAGGCUAUAGUCUUACUUUUUUGCUGUUUUUUGCCCACUUAUUAAAAAUGAAAAAAGUCACUAAAAAUGGACGAAAAGUAAAGGGUAUAGCCUUACUUUCUUGCUGUUUUUUUGCCCACUUAUGAAAAAUGAAAAAAGUCUCCAAAAAGUGACGAAAAGUAAAGGGUAUAGUCUUACUUUUUUGCUGUUUUUUGCCCACUUAUGAAAAAUGAAAAAAGUCGCCAAAAAUGGACGAAAAGUAAAGGGUAUAGUCUUACUUUUUUGCUGUUUUUUGCCCACUUAUGAAAAAUGAAAAAAGUCACUAAAAAUGGACGAAAAGUAAAGGGUAUAGCCUUACUUUCUUGCUGUUUUUUACCCACUUAUGAAAAAUGAAAAAAGUCGCUAAAAAUGGACGAAGGCUAUAUUUAUAGCCUUACUUUUUUGCUGUUUUUCGACCACUUGUGAAAAAUGGAAAUACAGCCUUACUUUUUUGCCGUUGUUUACGUUUGAAAUGUUUUUCAGGUCCAUGUUUUUCAAAAUGGAAAUAUAGUCUUACUUUUUUGCCGUUUUUCAUGCUUCUUACUUUUUUUGCUGUUUUUUGCCCACUUAUGAAAAAUGAAAAAAGUCGCUAAAAAUGGACGAAAAGUUAAGGUUGCUUUUUUGCUGUUUUUUGCCCACUUAUGAAAAAUGAAAAAAGUCGCCAAAAAUGGACGAAAAGUAAAGGGUAUAGCCUGAGUGUAAUAUAGCCUGAGUGUCAGACGAAUAACGAAUUAUAUUCGAAUAUAAUUCGUUAUUCGUCUGACACUCAGGCUAUAAAGGGUAUAGCCUUACCUUUUUUCUCCUUUUUGUCUCUUUACGGAAAAUGAAAAAUGUCGUUGCUUUUUGCUGUUGUUUGUCCUUUUUAAUUGCUUUUUUGCUGUUUUUGUCCCUUUACGAAAAAAAGUCGUUAAAAUCGACGAAAACUUAAGGCAAUAACCUUACUUAUUUGCUGUUUUCUGCCCAGUUAUGAAAAAGUCGUCUUAUCUGUUUCAAGCAUUGUAGUUGUUCGUUUUAAAGUUCGUUCUUCCGUUGAAGUGAUUUCUUCAAUUUCUUUCUUUUUUUUUAGUUUUUCGUUUUAAAUCACUUUGUUCUUCUGUUGAAGUGAUUUCUUCAAUUUCUUUCUUUUUGUUUUAGUUUUUCGUUUUAAAUCACUUUGUUCUUCUGUUGAAGUGAUUUCUUCAAUUUCUUUCUUUUUUUUUAGUUUUUCGUUUUAAAUCACUUUGUUCUUCUGUUGAAGUGAUUUCUUCAAUUUCUUUCUUUUUGUUUUAGUUUUUCGUUUUAAAUCACUUUGUUCUUCUGUUGAAGUGAUUUCUUCAAUUUCUUUGUUUUUUUUUAGUUUUUCGUUUUAAAUCACUUUGUUCUUCUGUUGAAGUGAUUUCUUCAAUUUCUUUUUUUUUUAGUUUUUCGUUUUAAAUCACUUUGUUCUUCUGUUGAAGUGAUUUCUUUAAUUUCUUUCUUUUUUUUCAAAAGCUAGCGAUGAAAAAUGGUCAAUCAAAAUAGCCUUGCUUUUUUGUUGUUUUUUGUUGCUUUACGUCAAAAUGGACAAAAAGUAAACAUUGAGACACCUUUUCUCAUCAAAACAAUCACUUUCAAUUGAUAAAAACACGUUUUAAAACAUUUUGCAAAGCGGGCAACCACAGGCAAGUGGCAAUCUGUGCUCAACAAAGGGAGAGCACAGGAAUUUUUUAAAUAAAAAAGGCCCGGAACUAUUAUUCCAAACUUUCUGAAAAUUGUCGAUAAGCAUUUAUUUCUCUCAUCAAAACAAUUACUUUCAACUGAUAAAAAAUGCUCAUUGACAUAGGGCUUUGCAUUUAUUGGCUUAGAUUGGAUGAAUUCCCCAAGGGAUAACAUAUUAUUCAGAAUUUAAAAUUUUCAUGCCACAUUGCCUGGAAGGCGUUUUAUAAACUAACCUUAUUUAAAUGAUUCAAGACAGCGACUGUAGAUGAUUCUGUUUGGUAUAAUCUUUCUUUUCCUGUCAUGUAAUCCGGUUCAACAUUGAGGACUGCUCACUGAUCCAAAUUCUCUUGGAACAAAAUAUCUAAACAAUGAAAGAUAUUAAUCUAGUUAUUUGCACAUAUCAACUGACAACAUAUCUUAUCUAACUGAUACCAGACGAAGAAUGCAACAGAAAAAUUCAUAUUUUUGUUUUUAAAAAUGGGAGUACCACAGGAAUUUUUUUAAAAAUUCAUAAAGAUCCCCCAACUCACAAAACUUUCUUUCUCUCAUCAAAACAAUCACCUUCGACUUAGAAAAACUUGUUUAAAAAAUUUUGGGUCAAAUGCAAAGGGGGGAUCAUAGGCAACCAAAGAAAAUUCACACUUUUGUGUUUAACCCAUUAAGCGCCAGCACUCUCCCCUUGAUGAGUAAAAUCGUCUGGCGUUAGACAGAGUAAAAUAACAAAGCAGGGCGCAUCUGGGCACAAUCGGGCGCAUCGAGCACUUCUAUCAUGAGCCCCUGGCUCGAGUGAUUGGGCAACCACACUCUGUGUUAACAUUAAAGUGCCUAUGACACGAAAUUUCACCCCAAAUGUUUAUGAUUGCAUUGUAAAGAUCACUUAAAAUG
rnacentral:lncRNA from 1 species